rnacentral:misc_RNA from 1 species
UUUCCGUAGGUGAACCUGCGGAAGGAUCAUUACAGUUGGGGCCCCGCCCCGAUCAAGAUACCACCCCUUGCUUUUUGAGUACCUCUGUUUCCUCGGCGGGCUUGCCUGCCACUGGGGACCCUUUAAACUCUUUGUAAAUACAGCAUCUGUCUGAAUAAACAAACAAAAAUCAAAACUUUCAACAAUGGAUCUCUUGGUUCUGGCAUCGAUGAAGAACGCAGC